rnacentral:rRNA from 1 species
CAGUCGCCGCGGUAAUACGAAGGGGGCUAGCGUUGUUCGGAUUUACUGGGCGUAAAGCGCACGUAGGCGGACUUUUAAGUCAGGGGUGAAAUCCCGGGGCUCAACCCCGGAACUGCCUUUGAUACUGGGAGUCUUGAGUUCGAGAGAGGUGAGUGGAAUUGCGAGUGUAGAGGUGAAAUUCGUAGAUAUUCGCAGGAACACCAGUGGCGAAGGCGGCUCACUGGCUCGAUACUGACGCUGAGGUGCGAAAGCGUGGGGAGCAAACAGGAUUAGAUACCCCCGUAGUCCCUGUCUCUUAUAC